rnacentral:lncRNA from 1 species
AAAGAUUAAUUUUUUCAAUUUAAACUCCAUUUUUUUUCGUGCGGAAAGAAUCAAAAAUUAAAGAGAAUCAACGUGGUUUAUCUAAUUAUCUGUAACAUACCGAUAUAUAGCAUCAUCUGGUUGUAUGGUGUGAUGGCUAGCACUCUGCACUUUGAAUCCAGCGACCUGGGUUCUACACCAGGUAGGAACUUUCUGUUUUUGCUUUUUCGCUUUUCC